rnacentral:lncRNA from 1 species
GAGGUGGAGGAUAAAUGUAAAUUCAUAAAAUAAUACCAAACACCCCAAGACGACCUCCAAGAUAGAAACCCCCAAUAUUGCAAAGCAAAGAUUCUUAAAAAGAUCCAGAAUGCCUAGAAGGAACAAUUUAAACAAGAAGGUUGAAAUUCGAAUGAGAAAGAAAAAAUGAAUAACAUCAAUUCAAUGGUAGUGUAAGACUCUAAUACACACGGAAGUGUUUUAAAUUGAACUAACUAACGGAUUAGGUCCACAAUUGAACUCUAAAUAUAGGCAAAUACCAGCUUUUCGGUCUCGGUCUCUAUGUUCCCUCUCCCUUUCCGUUGCCCUUCCUUGUACUCGUCCCGAUUCCCGACUGCUCUCUCGUGUCGCGGCUCCUCCCGAUGCCUCCCGAAUGAUUCUGCACGACGGGACUGCUCCGCUUUCUAUCUAUUCCUCAUUGUCUGAUCACGGUCUCUCUAUUCCUGUCGGAUCUCGCACCCUCUCCUCUCCAUCUCUAUUUCGGUAUUCGGUUACGACGCCGAUUCCUUCCCAUUCCUCUCCUCUCUGUUCACUUAUCCUUAUCCCUGUCUCUAGGUUCUCGACUACUUCUAGGCCGCUCCCUAUCACUCUUUCUCCAUCUUUCAGAGAUGCACGGUGAGAAGCCCUCAAUUUCCGAUCAUGAGAGUAUCCCCAGACUUCAAAGCGCUUUGAUCGGUGAUUCAAAUCAUCGUCAUUUCUCACUUUUGUUUGGAAAUCCAGAUCGAUUCUUUCUCCCGGGAGUCAGUGCUUCUUGUCCCAUCCAUGACUCCUUCAUGUAUUUAUCUUGGGGUUAAGUUUAGGAUUACAGGUAUUUAUUUGGGGGAUGAAGUUAAGGGUUACAGCUGUGGGAUUGGGGGAUUUAGGAUUACAGUGUUGGAGUUGUGAUUCAAGAAUAUAGCUGUUAGAUUUACACUUUUUCCAUUCACAAGUAUGGGAAUGUUCCAAUUUUCCGCCUAUAAAAAAACCUUCUCACUUGUCACUAAGUAUAUAAACUUUUGUAAAGGAGGUGGCACGAACGGGACUGCUUUAACAGCCAUAGGUACAUUAUUUUUUGUUUGUUGUCGUCAAACUAAAUAAACGAGGAGAAAGAAAUGGUUCGAAUUGGGACGAGCUAAAAAGGUUAAAGCUCAAUUUACUAAAAUUAAAAAUUUAAGAUUUAAUUUGUUACCAAAGUACAAACCUUAGGGAUUUUUUAGUCAUUUUCUCAAUUAAUUUUUAUAAAAAAGAAUAUAUACGAUCUGCAGGAAGUUUUUAUUUUUUAUCUAAGGAAAAAGGAGAUUUCACCCAUUAUACAGGUCACUGAUAAGGAUAACUUGGAAUAAAAGAAAUGAAUUCAUGAAAAUUAUCUCAUUUUCCCCUAUUUGAAUGAUUUUAAAAACAAAUUUUUAUUAAAAUCCAAUUUGAGGAAUCUCACAUAGUAAAGACAAAAAAUAAGUGUCAUUUUAGGGGGGAAAAAGAGUGUAAUUUAAGAAGAAAUUAUAAACUUUGCCAUCAAAGCUCUUUGGACCUUAUUUUUGCCUUCUCCUAAAAUUAUCAUUUUGAAUUAGUUGUUUAUAAUUUGGGGGUUAUUAUUGUAGGGUAUGACGAUAAUUAUUACUUUACCCUUGUCUUUAGGAAACUCAAGGCAUAUAGACAUAAAAGAGAUGUUAAAGACAUUAAGGAAAGAAUUAUAGCUGUGAAAGUAUUAAACGAGGGAAGAGAAAAUUUAUACAACAAUUAAAUGUUUAAAAACAAAAAAAAAGUAAUAAAAAAUAAAAAAACGAUAAUAAAAAAAGAAACUAAUAAGAACCAGAAAAUAAAAUAAAAAAUAGAAACAUAAACUAAUAACAUAAAUAGAAAUAAAAAAUAAAAAUAGAAACAGAAAUGUAAACUAAUAAGUAUACAAGUAUAUAUGAAUGAUAUGACAUGUACAGUCUCUCUAUCAAUGCGAACAUUUAUUUUGAAUGAAUGAAUUUAAUACUAAAUUUUUAUUGGUUACAAAAAUAAAUAUACAUGUCUCACUUUCACACACGAAAAGAAAAAAAAAUUAAAGAAAAAAGGAUUUCCAAAAACGGCGUGACGCCACCAAGUGCUGCGUGGACAUUGGUACACAUGCAAAGUUAAAACAAGGAGAAAAUGGGCAUUUGGUUGGAUUUUUUUGUUAAAAUUUAAAAACUGGGCUCAAUUGUGACAAAAUCAUGAUAUAUGGAAGUACAAUUUAAUUUCAAAACGUAAAUGGGGUGAGAGUGUGAUUUUAGUGAAAUCCAAGGGGUGUCAGUGAAAUUUACCCUAAUUUAUAUGAUAUCUAAACUAUUUAUAGGGAUAUAUGUUGAAGAUUUGUAUGUAUUCCGUCAAAAAUUUAGCUAGGAAAUCACUAAAAAAUUAUCCAUAUUACUAAUAAAAUAACCCAUAAUUAUUAUUUAUUUCUUAAUAUACUAUUUUUUUUUGGUUAUGUCGCCAUUUAUAAAAAGAGUAAAUUAUAUUUUGCACCCUUAUACUUGUACCAAAAUAUAUUUUUAUAUCAUUGAAAGGAAAAAUAAUAAUUGUUAAAAAAAAGUAUGAUUGUUUUGAAAAUAUAUUAUUUUAAGAAAUACUUCCGUUGGACCAAUAAAACCUUAUUAAAACUAUGGGAGUUAAAAAAAAAUUAUAGCAUAGAAUCAAUAAAUAGUAAAAGAAUAAUAAAUAAAUAAUAGAAAAAUAGAAAAAUAGAACAAAACAGAUAAGUGUUAAAAAAAACGACUAGUUACAAUUUAAAUUAUUGAUUUUGAGUUAUAAUUUAGCUCUUAAUUGAUGGGAUGGUGUGGAUGCUCAACUAUUUAAGGCUGUUUGGCAGGAAGCAUAUGGGGGGGAUAACUUUUGAAUGGGAUAAUUUUUAGAGAGGGGAUAAACUUUUAAUUUAUUGGAUGCUUUUUAGGAAUGGGUGAUUAAGGGUGGAGGAUAAGGAGAAAAUAUAUAUAGAUAAACAAAAUAUAAAACAUUUAGAUAUUAAACAUAUAGAUUUAUUUCUCUCCUCUAUAUAAAAAAAACUUUAGAUUUUAUUUGUAUUUAUAUAUUUUUUUUAUUAUCCUCCACACCCCUUAUCUUCGGAUACUUUUAGUUAGGGUUAGGCCACCCAAAAAUAAAUCUGCCUUUAUCCACCUCCGGGGCCAUAAAUUAUCCACCUCCAUAUCUGCAGCCAAACGCCGGGAAGAAAAAUAUCCGGGAAAAAAGUUAUUCCAUCUAAAUCGAUAGCCAAACAACCCUUGGGUUUAUAGCAGUUACGAUAGUCAUCCCCCAUUUGAUGAACCGUUAAAAUUCUAAUACUAACAAUACUUCCAAGCAUUGAGGUCCUGUUUGGAUGGCUAGAAUCCUCAAUUCGGAAUGGGAAUCACUUUUUUGGGUUUCUCAUUCCUAUAUUCAAAAAUUCAAGAAUCCGUUGUAGAAAAAAAAAAAUAAUAUUAUAUUCAUUUGUUUGGAAAAAAAAAAAAAACAGAAUAGAAAACAGAAAUCAAAAACUGAAAAUAGCAUAAUAAAUGAAAAAUAGAAAAAAGAAACAUAAAAGAAUAGGAAUAGAAAUGAAAGAUAGAAAGAGACGAGAAAAAAAAAUAAAAAGAAAAAAUCUAAAAAUUGAAAAUAGAAAAAAAAUGAAAAAAGAUAGAACUAGAAACUAAUAGAAAAAGAUAAAAAAUAGAAAAAGAAAAUAAAAAGAAAAAAAGAGAAAUUAAAUAAAAAAAGAGAAACUAAAAACAGAAAUAAAAACUAAAAUUAAAAAUACAAUCAGAAAAUCGAAAUAGAAACAAAAAAGUAGAAAUAUGAAUUGAAAACAUAAAAUCGAAACAGAAAUAGAAAAAAAACAUAAAUAGAAAGAAAUAGAAACUGAGAACGAAAAUAAAAAUGCAAAUAAAAAUAAAAAUAAAAAUAAAAAUUGGAAAUCAAAACAGAAGUGAAAACGCUAGAAAUUAAAAAUAAAAAUGUAAAAAAUAUAAACUAAAACCAAAAAAUAAAAAUAAAAAUAAAAUCGGAGAAUAGAAAUAGAAAAAAAAAACAAAAAAAUUAAAAAAAUAAACAAAAACCAAAAACAGAAAUACAAAUACAAAUAGAAAUGAAAUAAAAAGGAAAACCAAAAAAAUAAAACAAAAAUUAAAAGCAAAAAAAAAAAAUUUGUGAGAAAUAAAACUGAAAAUAAAAAAUAAAAAAUAAGAACAUUAAAAAACUAAAAAAAAUAAUUGUAAACUAAACACAAAAAAUAGAAAUAGAAAAAGAUAAAAAAUAGUAAACAAAAAAAAUUAUAAACUGAAAAUACAAACAUGAAAAACUAAAUGAAGAAAUAGAAAAACUUAAAUUAAAAAUCAGAUUUAACUGUAAAACACGAAAACAGAAAACAAAAAAAAUAAAAAUAAAAAAAUAAAAAUAAAAAAAAAAUAAAAACAAAUGUAAAAAAAACACAAAAAAACGAAAGAGAAAAUAGAAAAAAACGAAAUAAAAAACAGAGAUAAAGAAUAAAGAGUAAAGAAUAGAAAUAAAAAGAAAAUAAAAUAAAAAAAUAAUUUAAGAUUAAAAAUUUAAAAUAGAAACUAAAAAUAAAAAAUUAACAACAGAAAGAGAAAGAGAAAGAGAAAUAACAAAUAUGCGGACAGUAAAAAAACUAAAAACAUAAACAGGAAGCUGAAAUAAAAUUAAAAGCAGACAAUAAAUAUGAAAAACAAAUAAAUAAACAACUAAAAAACAUACAUGGAAAUAGAAAUAAAACCUGAAAAAAAUAAGAAAUAGAAAUGAAAAUUAAAAAAUAAAAGAAACCAAACAAUAAAACAUUGACAAUGAAAUGAAAAUAAAAUUAAGAACUAAAUAGAAGUUGAAAUAAAACUAAAAAUAAAAAUAAAAAAUAAACAAAUAAAAAACUUAAAAAAACAGAAUAGAAGAACUAGAAAAAAAAAUUGGAAAAAUAUAAAAGCUAAAAAGAAGAAGAAAAAAAAAGAAUACAAAAUAGGCAUAAAAAAGAGCCAUAAUGUAGAAAUAAAAAAAAGAGAAAAGAAAUUAAAAAUGGCCAUAAACAAAGAAAUUAAAAGUGAAAAUAGAAUUAUAAAGAAAAACAGAAAUAGGAAUGACAAAAAAGAAAUAGAAAUAGAAAACAUAAAACGAACCAGAAAACAAAAUCCCCUUUGCAAAAGACUGAAUAUAAAAAGAAAUAGAAAAUAAAAUUAAACAAACGAAAUAAAAAUAUAAACAGAAUGAAAUCAAAAAUAGAAGUAGAGUAUAAACAAGAAUACAAAUCGAAAUAGAAUUAAAAAAUAAAAAGAAAAAUUAGAAAAAAGGGAAAAAGAAAAGAAAAGAAAAAAAAGAGAAGUUAAAAAAGAAAAUAACAAAUAAGAAAAUUUCAAAAUAAGAAUAAAUUUAGAAAUAGAUAAUUAAAUAAAAACUAAAAUGAAAUCGAAUCCACUAAACAGAUAGAAAAUAGAAAUAAAAAAAAAAAAAAAACAGGAAAAAAAAACGAAAUAGAUAUUUAAAUAAACAUUAAAUAUAUAAAAAAAAGAAAAAUUAAAACUUAAACUAAAACUAAAAAUUAAAAAAUAGAAAUAGAAACUUAAAAGAUAAUAUAAAUUUAAAAACAUAAAAUAACUGAAAACAUAAAUAAAAUAAAAAAUUAAAACAUAAAUUAGAAAUUGAAAUACAUAACAAAAAGUAGAAAUAAAAGUAGAAAUAGAAAACAAAAAUAGGAAUAGAAGCAGAAAAUAAAAAUAGAAAUAGAAAAAAAUAUAUAUAAGAUAUAAACUAAAAAAAUAGAAUAAAAACUGAAAAUAAAAAUAGAAAUCGAUAAAAUCAAAAAAAAAUAGAAAUAGAAACAAAAAUUAAAAAAUGAGAACAUAAAAAGAAAUAAAAAUAUAAAGAUAAAAUUAUAAGAAAAAAAAAUAGAAAAAAAUUUUAAAAUUUGAGACAUAAAAACACUGAAAAACAUAAUAGAAACAAAAAUUAAAAUAAAAAUCUUAAAUAGAAAUUUAAAAUAAAAAUAGAAAUAUAAACUAAAAAUAGAAUCAGAAAACAUAAAUAGAAUCAAAAAUAGAAAUAGAAAAAACAAAAACAAAAAAUACAUAAAAAAAUCUAAACUACAAAAAAUAAAAUAUAAAAAUAAAAACAAAAAAAUAAAAAAAGUGAGAAAAAUAAAAAGAGAGAAAUAAAAAUAAAAAAUAAAAAAUAAAAAAUUGAGAACAUAAAAACUAAAAUAUUACAUGUAGGAAGAGAAGUUGUUCCUCUUAAAAGAUAGCUAAUUGCAAAAAUAAAGAAAAAAAAUUUCUAACUUUAGCCGUCAGAGUUACUACUAAUAACUACUAUAAAGGAAGUAACCAUAGCGUGUUUCAAUGGCUGUGUACUAGAUUAAUUAGCUAAAGCCAACCUAGAAUACAAAUCUUUAUACAGAUAUCUAGGGCAAAGAUAGAACCCCAUAACGCGAGAUGGUUGAAUAGAUCAAAUAUUUUAGAUUAGCUGAAAUUAUAUUCUUAUAUGCUAACAAAAACAUAAAAUAGAAAUUGAAAUACAAAACAAAAAGUAAAAAUAAAAAUAAAAAUAAAAUCAGAAAACAUAAAUAGGAAUAGAUGUAGAAAAAAAUAGAAAUAGAAGUAGAAAAAAAAUAUAAAAUAUAAACUAAAAAAAAUAGAAUAAAAAUAUAAAUUAAAAACAGACUUAGAAAAAUAAUAGAAAUUGAAAAAAAAUAUAUAAAUGAAAACUAAAACUAAAACUAGAAAUAGGAAUAAAAUCAAAAAAUAAAAUAAAAUAGAAACAAAAAAUAAAAAAUAAAAUUUGAGAACAUAAAAAACAAUGAAAACAUAAAAAAAAUAGAAAUAUAAAAUCCACAUAAACAUCAAAAAAAAUUGAGAACAUAUAAAACAACUAAAACAUAAAUCGAAACAUAAAAUUAUCCUUAAAAAAUAAAUGAGAAAUUAAAAAAUGAAAAUAGAAAUAGAAACAAACAAAACAAAAAAAUCCCUAAAAAAAAAAAAACAAAUAACAAAAUAAAAUCGAAUAAAAAAUAAAAAAUUGAGAACCAAAAAUCUGAUAACCCUAAAUAAAAACAUAAAAUAAAAAACAAAAGCAAAAAAAUAAAAUUCAAAAAAACGGAAAAUAGCACUCGAACCAAGAAAUAACAACAGAAAACAGACAAAAAUCUAGAAAAAAUAGCAAAUAAAACUCGCAACCAAAAAAGGAAAACAGAAAUAGAAAUAAAAAUAACAAAUAAAAAUAAACACCCACACAAAAACACCCAAUCUAAAACUUAACAAUAACAUUAAAACUAAAACAGCGCGACUCCAACACCUUUAACAAUUGAUUAAAUACAAACUAACACACUCCAGGUCGAAACCUACGUGUGCCCCUUAACAGAUAGCUCCUUCCCAACAAAAAAAGGAAAAAUAAUUCUAACUUUGCCUUUAGGGUUGGUAACCUAAUAAACUAUUGUAACUGAAGUAACUUUAGUGUGUUUCGAUAGUUCGUAAAGUCACUACUUAACAACCAAACGGAACUACUAAUAUUUUUAUAGAUACUUAGGCCAUAGGAAAGAACUGUGGAUACAGUCCAUGGGAGCCAAGACAAUUAAGCCAAAUAGAAAGCCCCAGGACCAAGGCUUCAUGCCUGCCAAUUCUUCAAUCCUCUCUUCCAGAAGCGCCCCCUCCCCAAUUGACAUCUGUCAGAAGACAAAGUCUUCUGAGAGAGGCGGGAGGAAAAGAAUGGCAGAGAGAGAAGGAUGCGGCUGGUGAUUGUCAACAUGGAGCCGAUCUACUCGAUAAGGAGAGAGAUCAGAUGAGAGGAAGCGAGUGGCGGGAGAAGUCAGAGAGUGAGGAAGAGGGCAGUAUAGAUUGAGUGAGUGCUGUGAGUGAAGGAGCGCCGAUGUGAGAUAGAGAGAAGAGUGAGUUGAGUGUGAUAUCCUCCUUGGUAUUUAUUGUACUUCCAGUUCUGAUAGUGAAUUCAACAAUUCCCUCCGUGACGUAGGCAUUGUGGCCGAACCACGUAAUUCUUGUCUUGGGUGUGUGUUGUGUUGGUUUCGAGUGAUGGUAACCGUUGUUGGGGCACAACAAUUGGUAUCAGGCCAAUUCGAGUCACGGGAGGUCACCGGAGGGCCACCGCGAGUCACAUUUCACUUCUGACCAAUUCGAAUGCAAAACUUGAGAUUUGAGUAUACCAUCACCGUCGUCUCUGUCGAUACGAAGCUCCAGCACCAAACGGAGCAAAAUCGGACUCCAAACGAGCCCUCAGCGCCGAUUGAAAAGGUCGGAGCAUCAGAUCCACGGCCACACGCGCGCGAGAGGGUGAAGACGACUGAGCUUCACGCUCCACGCGCUGCCCGCGCCCGCACGGCAUCGAGGAGGCAUGUCGCGCGGCCCAGCGCCAACACGCGCGCCCAAGUGGCUCACGCGCACGCACGCGCCUUGCACGCGCCAGCAAGUGGCGGCAAGCGCUGACACGCGCCUCCACGCGCCAGCAAGUUGAUCGUGAGUGAGCCCGAGCUGCUACGCGCUCGAGCGCGCGAACCCUCGCGUUUGAUAACGCGCGAGCCGACUAGAGCCGGAACGCGCCGAUCCCGGUCAACCAAGAGCCGUUGACCGUUGACCCGAGCCGCUUACCGAUCAACCUGAGCCGUUGGACGAGUGACCAGCCGAGCCGCGACCAGUCAAGUCCAGCGUUAACCAGCCGCCGCUGACCGUUGACUGGUCAACGUUGGACCUUAACCAGCCGUUUGACCCGAAAAGUGAUGCGUGAAAUUACACUUGCGGUCCCUGAACUUCUGAUAUUUUCAUUUGGUCCCUGAAGUUUGGGACAUGCAGUUUGGGUCCCCCGGACUUUGGAAAUUGCAAGAGGUCCCUGGAAAAAUUGAAAAUUUCAAUUUUAGUCCCUAAAGUUUCAAUUCGAGCAAUUUGGGUCCCAGAAGGUCUGAUUGUUUUGCCGAAAAAGCCUCUCUGAGUUUUCUCGGCGUCGGAUCCAUCCGCGGGUCGGUUUCGAAGAUUUUGACUUCUAUUCUAGAGACGUAAUAUGGCGGAGUCUAAUUUGGGAGCUAUGAUAUGCUUUCAGCUACAAAUUCGCUUCUAUGGAAAACCGAGGAUGGAGACAUACUAUUUUGCAAAGAGAUUUGCAUGAUCCUUAGAGAGUAAAGGAGAAAAACGGCAGAGAAGAAAGGAUGAGGAGUGGACGCAGAGAACAGAAAAUAAUCGGGCUAAUCGAAGUGCAUUGGACACGAGGUGUUCCACCACGAGCCAAGAGAGAGUGCUUACGAUUUAGGACCAAAUGGAGAAGAAAUGUACCAGCGAAGGACAUCUCGGAACAGGCCUUUAUUGAUGAGGAGGCUGUAAAUUUGAAACUAAGAGAGGGACCGUGGGAAAUUACAAGUGAGUUCCAGAAUUUGGUCAACCAAUGAGCAGUGUUGACCGAAUAUUUGACGAUAGAUGCAGGAACUAUGCUUUGGAGUUCUUUACUGAAGUUGGGAGACAUUGGUGGGUUCUCUCAAUAAUUCGGCGCAGGAUGGGAAGUGACCUUUGAAUACAGUCAAGGAUGCCUAUUUUCAACGAAGCAGCACGGCCGCAGAGAUGGGAAGACGAGCGAAGUGGUCGCAGGCCUACAUCCAGACGACGCCGGGAAAGAGGUCGAGGGUCACCAGAGGAAUAAUGGGAGCGGCGGGCGAGGUCACAUCAGGGGGUAGCCGUUUUACGUGUUUUUUCGGGAGCAAGAAGCGGCUUAUGAAGAGACAUUGCCCAACGUAUCCAGCACAGAUCCCAGUCUUCAGGAGACCGCAUCCGCUCGGCAUCCCGUGAUGACCGCUUCCGAUCCUGAUGCAUUCCUCGUAUCAUCGGCAGAUAGAUCAGCCUGGGUAUUGGAUUCAGACGUGCUACCAUUUUUGUAGCGACAGGCAGAUGCUCCACAUAGUCACACUGCGAGGGCCUUGUACGGCUGGCCGAACAACAGCCGACCCAAGUUGGUGCCAGGGCCCAGUCCGUUCCGCACUGGCAGACGGAGGUAUGUCACGUGACCGAGGUACGGCAUGUUCCCCAACCUACGCAGCAUUUAAUUCCCUCGGCAUGCUAGAUUCAAUGGGUGCGCAUUGCCGCCGGGCGGGAAUCUUGCGAAUUCCCCAGGCAAACACCGAGCUGCUGACGGGGACCGGCCGAUCAAGGACAUCUCGCCUGGAGGGCCUGUCAACGGCCGCGGAUGCUGUCCGACAUAGGUCCCGUGCUAUAAGACGGGACGGAAUGGACAAGGGAAGCAACAGUGCACACCGGCACACAAAGCACGCGCAGAGACACCUGGAGGCGCAGAGUGGUACGCAAGGAGCUGCUUGAGAAAGUGCGAAGUCUGACCGCGAAAAGACCAGUGCGCCAGUGCCGGACGUCCCCUAGCACAAGGUCCAGCGGAAGGAGGACAAAGUCGAUUCGACGGUUGUAAAUCGACAGCGCGACGUCGCCGAAACGAGUCUCUUUUGCUUCGAUUGAUUCGUGGCAGUGAUUUUCAGAUGUGUACACAAGGGAGGAGAGAGCGAGCCCCGACGACUCGCAAAGUGAUGUACUUUGCGGAAGCUCUCCGUGAGGGGGAGCUGAGCACCUAAGGAAGAAGGUGCAGGCACUUCAGAUGGCGUGGGCAUUGCCCAUGAGAGGGCAAGAUUAUCUCGGAUGCAGUUUGCAGAUCUUACGGGGGAGCUGGAUCAGACGUUGUCAGGAUGGAAACUUGAAGAGUCAGAGUCCCCGUCCAAUGGGGCUGGAGGGGGCGAUUGUUGGAUCCAGCCCAGGGAGCCAAGCCCAUUAAGCCAAAUAGAAAGCCCAAGGCCCAAGUCUUCCAUGCUUGCAAUUCCUUCAUCCUCUCUUCCAGAAGCAGCCUCAAGUUGGCAAUAUGUCAGAGACAAAGUCUCUGAUAGAGGCGGAGGAAGGAAAAUAAUGGCAGAGGAGAGACGGAUCGGCUGGUGAUAUGUCAACAAUGGAGGCGAUCCUCAUAAGGGAGCAGAGAAGAGAGGGGAAGUGAGUGGGGGAUAAGUCCAGAGAGUGAGGGAAGAGGGCUGUAUAAAUUGAGUGAGUGCCGGAGUGAAGAGAGCAAGACUUGAGAUAGAGGAAGAGUGAGUGAGUGUGUCUCCUCCUUUGUAUUUAUUUAAUCAUUUUGAUAGUGAAUAACAGAUUCUCCUCCGUGGACGUAGGCAUUGUUGGCCGACACGUAAAAUCUUGUUUGUGUGUGUGGGGAUGUUAGUGGAGUGACUGGUAACUCGUGUGGGCACAACAAGAAACCCCAUAAUGCUAAGAUGGUUGAUAAGAAUAAGUCUUAGAUAAGCUGCCUUUCUAUAUUCCUUGUAAUAGGAAGGUUUGACAGCCUCGAACACUCACGCCUUGGUCUCAAUGGAUUCUCCAUUGACCAAAAAAAAGUUGGCCCAUUUAUUAAAAGAAGAAUAUGCAAAAUCACAAGGGAGCAAUUCAGUUCGGAAAAUAAUCAAAACAAAAUAGAGAGAGAUGGCGGUCAUGUGAGUCAUGCAAAAGUCUUGAACACGCUAGAGAGAGAGAGCAACACUAACUCUUCUAUAUAUUAUCUUCCAAUCCCAUUUGACCUCUUUUUAUUUUGUUAUUUUAUUUUUAUCUAUUGUUCGACAAAAUUAUUAAUUAUAUUGAAAGGGAAACAAGUUUUGAUAACUUCAUCCUGAAAACUAACAGGUGUAUAUUUUCAAUGAACAUACGAUAAUUAAAGUUUUUUUCGACCUAUCGUGGGGUGAAAUGUAUUUUCCCAUAGUACUACUGCUAACAAGUAACAAUUAUGACAAAUAUAAAAUAUAUAAAGCUUCUUCCUUACCUUCAUUAGCCGAGAAAUGAUUGAAACAUAGACUGGGUAGUGGGUAUAUUUUGAUCAAGUUUUUUUUCCUUUUUUAUUUUUUUUUUUUCUCCCUUUUUUAAAAAAAAAAAGACAAAUUUUAGUUAAAUAUAAAUAUAAAUAUGAAUAGGGAGCAUUGUCAAUCACCAUUUGGAGAAUAUAUUGAUCAAUAAUAAGGAUCAUAAAAGUUGCGUCAAUAGUUAGAAUGUUCCCUUUAUAUUGAAAGAGAUUGGGUAAUCUAUAAUUUAGAUAAGAAUCAUUAUCGGAUAAGAAUUUGGAACUAUUCAAUAAUAGGAUCAUAGUUCUAGAAACGACCGGACAUUGAUAACGGUCAAAGCACAGUUAAACGGUCAUGUUCAACCAGGUUCAACCGGAUUUAUAAUUAAUUAAAAAUAAAUUAUAUAUUUUAUUAUAAAUAAUAAAAAAUAUUUGUUGUACCCAUUUAUAGUAAAAAUUAAUCAUAGUAAAAAUAUUAAAAAAUUAACAAAUUCAAUUCAAAAUUUGAGGUCAACCUGUAAAAAUUAAACCUUCAAUUGUUCUGUUUAAAAAAACCGCGGUUCAAUCAGGUUAGCUUGGAUUUCCGUAAAAUAGUGUAACGAAAACCGGUUUAAUACCGAUUUCCGGUUGAACCGGUCAGUCGCUCGAUUUAAUAAUAUGAAUAGGAGAAACAAGGAUAUGGAUAUUCGACGAUUUGGAAAAGUGAAUCG